GACGAACCGUGCGAACGUUGUUCGGAAUCACUGGGCUUAAAGGGCGCGUAGGCGGGCGACCAAGUCCUGGGUGAAAUCCUCCGGCUUAACCGGAGAAGUGCCUGAGAUACUGGUCGUCUGGAGGGAGGUAGGGGCAGCUGGAACUUCCGGUGGAGCGGUGAAAUGCGUUGAUAUCGGAAGGAACGCCGGUGGCGAAAGCGAGCUGCUGGACCUCUUCUGACGCUGAGGCGCGAAAGCCAGGGGAGCAAACGGG
rnacentral:rRNA from 1 species